UACGGGGGGAGCAAACGUUGUUCGGAAUCACUGGGCGUAAAGGGCGUGUAGGCGGCUGGAUAAGUGGGAUGUUAAAUCCCCCGGCUCAACCGGGGACCUGCAUCUCAUACUGUUCAGCUCGAGCACAUCAGAGGAGACUGGAAUUCCCGGUGUAGCGGUGAAAUGCGUAGAUAUUCGCAAGAACACCAGUGGCGAAGGCGGCUCACUGGCCCGAUACUGACGCUGAGGCACGAAAGCGUGGGGAGCAAACAGG
rnacentral:rRNA from 1 species